rnacentral:piRNA from 1 species
UGGGAUUAACAGCUCCUACUCUCUGACAGA